rnacentral:rRNA from 1 species
AUACGGAGGAUGCGAGCGUUAUCCGGAUUUAUUGGGUUUAAAGGGAGCGUAGGCGGGAGCUUAAGUCAGCGGUUAAAUGGUGCGGCUCAACCGUGCCCUGCCGUUGAAACUGGGUUUCUUGAGAGUGCAAGAGGCGGAUGGAAUUCAUGGGGUAGGGGUGAAAUGCUUAGAUAUCAUGAAGAACUCCGAUUGCGAAGGCAGUCCGCUGGGGCACGUCUGACGCUGAUGCUCGAAGGUGCGGGAAUCAAACAGGAUUAGAUACCCUGGUAGUCCGCACGGUAAACGAUGAUUACCCGCUGUCGGCGGUAGACAGUCGGCGGCCAAGCGAAAGCGAUAAGUAAUCCACCUGGGGAGUACGCCGGCAACGGUGAAACUCAAAUGAAUUGGCGGGG